GAUGAACGCUGGCGGCGUGCCUAAUACAUGCAAGUCGAGCGAACGGACGAGAAGCUUGCUUCUCUGAUGUUAGCGGCGGACGGGUGAGUAACACGUGGAUAACCUACCUAUAAGACUGGGAUAACUUCGGGAAACCGGAGCUAAUACCGGAUAAUAUUUUGAACCGCAUGGUUCAAAAGUGAAAGACGGUCUUGCUGUCACUUAUAGAUGGAUCCGCGCUGCAUUAGCUAGUUGGUAAGGUAACGGCUUACCAAGGCAACGAUGCAUAGCCGACCUGAGAGGUGGAUCGGCCACACUGGAACUUGGACACGGUCCAGACUCCUACGGGAGGCAGCAGUAGGGAAUCUUCCGCAAUGGGCGAAAGCCUGACGGAGCAACGCCGCGUGAGUGAUGAAGGUCUUCGGAUCGUAAAACUCUGUUAUUAGGGAAGAACAUAUGUGUAAGUAACUGUGCACAUCUUGACGGUACCUAAUCAGAAAGCCACGGCUAACUACGUG
rnacentral:rRNA from 1 species